GACGAACGCUGGCGGCGUGCUUAACACAUGCAAGUCGAACGGAAAGGCCUGCUUUCCCUUGUGGUUUGCGGGUACUCGAGUGGCGAACGGGUGAGUAACACGUGAGUGAUCUGCCCCCAACUUGGGUAUAAGCCUGGGAAACUGUGUCUAAUUCCCGAUAGGACUGCAGGGUGGUGCCUGUGGUGGCAAACGAUUUUCUAGUGGUUGGGGAUGAGCUCGCGGCGUAUCAGCUUGUUGGUGGGGUAAUGGCCUACCAAGGCGGGGACGGGUAGCCGGCCUGAGAGGGGGGACGGCCACAUUGGGACUGAGAUACGGCCCAGACUCCUACGGGAGGCAGCAGUGGGGAAUAUUGCACAAUGGGCGGAAGCCUGAUGCAGCGACGCCGCGUGGAGGAUGACGGCCUUCGGGUUGUAAACUCCUUGCGACCGCGAGGAAGCCACCUGGUUGGAAGGGUGGUGACGGUAGUGGUAGAAGAAGCACCGGCUAACUACGUG
rnacentral:rRNA from 1 species